GUAGGUGAACCUGCGGAAGGAUCAUUACAAAAUCAGGUUUGGGUUGGUGGUGGUUAGUUUAGUUGGAUUGUGGGUGGAAAGGGAAGGGAGUUCUCUUUCUACUGCUCUACUUGCUAACCCGCCCCCUCAUAUCAUUUGCGCUUGUAUUGUUUGACAGAGUAAUCUUCUAUGCAUAAAUUGACAACUUUUAACAAUGGAUCUCUGGGCUCUUGCAUCGAUGAAGAAUGCAGCAUCUGACUGACUUCAGUAC
rnacentral:misc_RNA from 1 species